CACGAACGCUGGCGGCAGGCUUAACACAUGCAAGUCGAGCGCCCCGCAAGGGGAGCGGCAGACAGGUGAGUAACGCGUGGGAAUCUACCCAUCUCUACGGAAUAACGCAUGGAAACGUGUGCUAAUACCGUAUACGUCCUUCGGGAGAAAGAUUUAUCGGAGAUGGAUGAGCCCGCGUUGGAUUAGCUAGUUGGUGGGGUAAAGGCCUACCAAGGCGACGAUCCAUAGCUGGUCUGAGAGGAUGAUCAGCCACACUGGGACUGAGACACGGCCCAGACUCCUACGGGAGGCAGCAGUGGGGAAUAUUGGACACUGGGCGCAAGCCUGAUCCAGCCAUGCCGCGUGAGUGAUGAAGGCCCUAGGGUUGUAAAGCUCUUUCACCGGUGAAGAUAAUGACGGUAACCGGAGAAGAAGCCCCGGCUAACUUCGUGCCAGCCGCCGCGGUAAAAC
rnacentral:rRNA from 1 species